CGUCCCUUGAUUUUACAAUCUUGCUACAUAGGCAGGGUUUUUUAACAGGGUUUAUAUCCUGACUGAUGUGGCACAUAAAAAAAAAAAAUCAAACAAAGCAAAUCCCCAAAUCUAGACCCACAGAAACGAAGGAAAACCUCCACACGCAAAUGUCUCGCCCAAAUCUCUCUCCCCCAAAUCAAAACUCACGCCUCACCUUCUUCGGCGGCACUUCUACCGUCGGCGCUCCGGCAUCACUUCCGUUGAAGGUUUGGCUGCCUCCCUUCACUAUUUCCGACCGUGCUUGGAGUGAAGAUUGUUACCGCUUCGAGAGCAGUUUCAUCCAAGUUUCACCGGCUGAAGCUUGACCAUCUCCGGUCGCCAGUGAAAUCAGACAACAAGUAUCUCUCUACCUCACGCCAUUUGGGAGUUGGUUAAGGUUAAGUUACAUUCAAAUUCAAGUCGUGGUCAAUUUACUUGUUCUUUGUCACUGUCAUGUAAAAGGCGUUAGAUUAGCCUUAGAUUUAUCUUGCUAAAAAAUUUUCAACUCUCUCUAUGGUCUUCUGUCCAGAUGUUUUAAUGGCUUUAAGUAAAUAUCGAAUCCUACGAAGUCUACAAAACCACCAAUGUAGCGGAUGAACCUGUUGAAUUACAGAGCUAUGCACUGCAGGGCUGGAGUCACUUGCUAAUUACAUUUCAUUAGGCACCUGCAUGAAUGGAGUUCAUGAUGUAUUUGAAAUUUGUUGUUAUUCAUUUGAAUCUAGCUUAUCAGUAUAAUGAAUAUGUAGGUGGUUUGUUAUGCAGUUGUCAGUUCCAAAAAAUGGAAGAAAGCUAUUGUUAAUUUUUGUUUUUUAUGUGGUUUAUUUCCAUUGUAGAAUUCACGGAAGGAAUUUUGGUAUCUGUCAUAGUUGUAGAGCAAAGGGCACUUCUUUGCUGAUUGUUGUUAAUCUCGAGUUCGCCUCCUCGAUGAAGAAGACCUACAAAUUUCAGUGAACGUGACUAUAUGCAAGGCAAAUGAUAGUGUGGAAGCAAAGGCAAAAGGGGAGGGUCGAUCUGAUUAUUAGAUAAACCUCAGCUCACGGGUUGUGACAUAACUUCUGUAUAUGUAGCAUUAUUAUGUACUUUAAGUUGUAUGUUAAUGAAAUUUGUGAACUAAUGGAACCUAUGUACCGAUCUGAAUUUGCAUGUUUCCCAUAGGUAGCAGUUGUAAUGACAUGUUUACUUUAAAAUUUCUUAGUCGUUCAUGUGAAUCUUUAUACUUGUUUGCAUUUUCGUAAUAUCAGAUUCACAGUGAAGCUUCCUUUCA
rnacentral:lncRNA from 1 species